UUCCAAAGCCACAGACACCCACAUUUUGGUGUCUUUCCAGGGCCAGGAGUGUCCCCUGAAGGCAGCCAGAUACCAGAAGCCACCUUGCCUUCCAUGGGCCAAGGAAAGACUCUACCACUGGGCUCCAUGGCUGAUGGCAGGACCUAGCACACCACUCAUGCCAAAGGAAGGAAGCCCAACCUCUGCCUUCAGAAGACUACGGUCAUCAAGCACCACCAGCUGCUGUCUGAGUCAGGGCUGCUGAAAUCUGAGCCCAUCCACAGGCACCACAUGUGGAUCCAGAUCCUACAGGCCUGGGCCACUGCCACCAAGAUGCGGUGGGACUCAAAGCACAAGUGGGUCGACCCUGUGUGCUGUUGUGUGGCACAAGUUGGGUGAACUCCCAAAGGUGCCUCUUGGCCCAGCCUCUGGCCUCAGCUCUGUCUCACACCCGUGGAGCAGGCAGUAGCUAAGAUGUUCCUGUGUCAGGCCCUGCUCCCUGAGGGUUUCUGCCAGGGCUGCCCACAGGCAGCUUGUCUGCCGGACCACCAGUCUGGCCUGUAGAAAGGUGGCCCUGCCUUAACUGCCUAGCGUGUACCUUCCUUCUAGGCGACCGGCUCUUGCCUUUUCUCCUCACUGUCCUCACUACCUCUGUAACCAUCUGGAAUGUUCUUAUUCAGUCGUUCUCUGCUCCAGUCACUCGUUCACUUGUCCACCCAUCCAUCUGCUCACCUCAAGAUGCUUUCAAGAUCGGUGACACUUGUGACUGACUGACCGCCUUGCUAGCUCUCAGCUCUUCCAACGUCUUACCCAGUUCUGGACAGAACUGAGUGGAGACAGAGUUCCCUGCUGGGACCUCAGUCACUUGGGCUAUGAUAUAAGAUACACGUUGGCACACAGCUAAGACACAGCCCCCUUCACACAGGGCUCUAACAUGCUAGCCCCAUCUGAUGUACCGAUACUGUUCUGACCCAUCUCUGCCACACAGAAUGCUCAGUAACUUCUGAUUUAUCCUCAGAGCUGGGGUGUGAAACAUGCAGUGCUGCCAGUUACUUUUAAAAAACGAGAUGGGGCCUCACUGCGUGCUGCAGGCUGGCCCAAACUCCUGGGUUCAGGUGACCCUCUCUCCGCAGCCACCCAGGAGUGGGAGGAACAGGUGUGAGAGAUACUGUGCUGGCCCUGCAUGCUUAUCAUCCUUAGCAGAGAUGUCCUUCCUGGCAGGCCCAUCACUGCAGCGUUGGGUGGGUGCAAGCAGGACCGGGAAGGUGGAGUCUACUCACAGCCAGUCUUAGUCUUCCAGGCUGGGCUUUGAUUGGCCCCUGGCAGCUUGAGGAGGCCAACAGAGAGCCUGUUGCUGUGGUACAUCCUGGGCCUGUGAUACUUGUGUCCUCUGUUGCUGGCUGUUCUGAAGCUCUUCUGGAUGCCCAGACCUUUUGUGAUUCAGUUGAACUCAGCAUCAGCUUGCCACUCAGCAAAUACCUACUCAGAUGUGAGGAGCACAGAGGAGGGUCUCACUCCAGGAUGCUCCACUGGCGGAGAAGACGUGUUGCUGAGCUUGGGGAACUGCCUCCCGGGAACCUGGAAGCACAAGGGCGUGGUUUCUGUCCUUGUAUUGGUUUUUUCUAUUCCAUCUCACACCAGUCAGAAUGGCUAAGAUAAAAAAUUCAGGUGACAGCAGAUGCUGGCAAGGAUGUGGAGAAAGAGGAACACUCCUCCAUUGCUGGUGGGAUCGCAAGCUUGUACAACCACUCUGGAAAUCAGUCUGGCGGUUCCUCAGAAAAUUGGACAUAGUACUACCGGAGGAUCCUGCAGUACCACUCCUGGGCAUAUAUCCAGAAGAUGUUCCAACUGGUAAGAAAGACACAUGCUCCACUAUGUUCAUAGCAGCCUUAUAUAUAAUAGCCAGAAGCUGGAAAGAACCCAGGUGCCCCUCAACAGAGGAAUGGAUACAGAAAAUGUGGUACAUUUACACAAUGGAGUACUACUCAGCUAUUAAAAAGAAUGAAUUUAUGAAAUUCCUAGGCAAAUGGAUUGACCUGGAGGGCAUCAUCCUGAGUGAGGUAACCCAAUCACAAAAGAACUCACAUGAUAUGUACUCACUGAUAAGUGGAUAUUAGCCCAGAAACUUAGAAUACCCAAGAUACAAAAUGCAAAGCACAUGAAACCCAAGAAGAACGAAGACCAAAGUGUGGACACUUUGCCCCUUCUUAGAAUUGGGAACAAAACACCCACGGAAAGAGUUACAGAGACAAAGUUUGGAGCUGAGACAAAAGGAUGGACUAUCUAGAGACUACCAUAUCCGGGGAUCCAUCCCAUAAUCAGCCGCCAAACGCAGACACCAUUGCAUACACUAGCAAGAUUUUGCUGAAAGGACUCUGAUAUAGCUGUCUCUUGUGAGACUAUGCCGGUGCCUGGCAAACACAUAAGUGGAUGCUCACAGUCAGCUAUUGGAUGGAUCACAGGGCCCCCAAUGGAGGAGCUAGAGAAAGUACCCAAGGAGCUAAAGGGGUCUGAAACCCUAUAGGUGGAACAACAAUAUGAACUAACCAGUACCGCCUGGAGCUCGUGUCUCUAGCUGCAUAUGUAUCAAAAGAUGACCUAGCCGGCCAUCAGUGGAAAGAGAGGCCCAUUGGUCGUGCAAACUUUAUAUGCCUCAGUACAGGGGAAUGCCAGGGCCAAGAAGUGGGA
rnacentral:lncRNA from 1 species